UACGUAGGUGGCAAGCGUUGUCCGGAUUUAUUGGGCGUAAAGGGCGCGCAGGCGGUUCGUUAAGUUCGAGGUGAAAUCUCCUGGCUCAACUGGGAGGGGUCUUCGGAUACUGGCGGACUUGAGGAGAGCAGAGGUGAGUGGAAUUCUGGGUGUAGUGGUGAAAUGCGUAGAUAUCCAGAGGAACACCAGUGGCGAAGGCGACUCACUGGGCUCCACCUGACGCUGAGGCGCGAAAGUGUGGGGAGCGAACCGGA
rnacentral:rRNA from 1 species